CUCUUGGCUCCGCGUCGCUGAAGGCCGCCCGUAUACGACAGCAGGUGCCGGUGGCUCAUUCGUUCGUAGGGGAGUGUGAUUCUAUCAGAGUGCUCAGAAUGGAUAGUGUGGAUUCUUCUUCCCCAUUGUGCCUUGCUCAGCAUGAGUAGGUAAGGUUGCUAUUGUCGGGUAAUCAAUUAUCUGCAUGUAAGUAGACUGUAAUAAUAAAGUGAAAACAUAUAAUAAAUGGAGCACCUUGCCACUAUUAUUCCAGUAGUUUUUUCUUGGCACCAUUUUUAGCCAACCUUUUAAUGGAAGGAUGAGCUUGACCAAACAGAUUACUGUUAUUUUACAUUGUAGGAAACAAAUUCUAAUUUUCUAACCCACCAGCAAAAAUUAUUAUCUUGAAAAGGUGAGGAAGUUUUCAUGUACCAUAAGUGGAAUCAUCUUUCAUGUGACAGCUGCUGUUUCUUCACCUAACCAUUGAAUAGCUUUAUUUUUUCAGUGCCUGGGUUUAAAAUUGAACAAACUGGAGCUCGUGUAUUUUGUUUGUAUAUAAUAUUAAAAGAGAAAUUUCGUACCUUAUCGAAUCAGCAAAUGAAAAUGUUUCUAUGCUUCAGUCCAAAACAAAAAUGCACACAUUGUGAAGUAAACAUGGAGAUCAUGAGCUGAAUUCUUUACCACACAUAUGUGCUUAAGGAUAUACUGACAGUUUUUGCUUUGAGGAGAACUCUCAAAUCUUUAAGCCACAGUGCAUGAUAUUAUCGCUUGUCUCUUUUUUUCUGUGGACCUUUUUCAUACUAAAUUAGUAAUGAGAUCCAUAUGAUUCUUGCAUUUUGGUCAUAGAUUUUUGUGCACUGCAUGGCUCUUUGUGCUUCAGUUUUUUUAACACAACGGCUAGACUUAUCUCAGGCACAAACUGGCCUUGCACAUCUGCCUUGCUUGGUUCUGGACAAGAACCUAUUUUCCCAUACAUGGAUGCUAACUCAGUAGUGAUAACCAAUGGUUUUGAUGUUUUGUUGGGUGGCAGUUUGUGCUACACCGGCUUGCUUCUAAAGAAAUGCAUAGACAACUCAACAUACAUUGAGACAUGCCCAGAUAUUGGAUAUAUCGCUUUUGGUAUACCGGUCGAAUCUUUGUAUUGGUGGGCAUUCACUGACAGUGCAGAUUUAUGCAAAAGUGAACUCUUCUAUUGUUAACUUGGCUGAUCACAUCUCCUUUGCAGGUUGUUCUUCACCUGGAGCUUUACAUAAGUAUAAUCUGAAUUCUGUGUAAAUUGCCAGUAUGCCUUUGACUGUUGAACACAAGUAAAAUUUCUUAUAUUUGCACGCAAAUUAUGUGGCAGACUGGCAGUACAUCGUGUUGCUAGGAGAUAGCAUCAUCAGUGUUUUUCGUUGGAACAUUUAGUUUUUACCAUCAUCAACUUGAAUGCACAUGAUCUAUUUGUAAUCACAAUGCCGUUGGCAAUUCUCCCAUCAGUCUGGCUCAGGAACCUCAGCCUCCUCUCAUAUAUUUCUGGUAAGUGGAAAUGUAGAAUGUCUACAACAUUCCCUCUUAUUUCUGAUCUUUCAGAGCAAUGGACGACUAUUAAAUUAUAAUAAUGUUUUUCUAAAGAAUGACAAUAUCAUUUGACUCUUCCUGAUAAUAUUUCAUUUAAUUUUUAACAAAAAAAUUAUCUUUCAGCGAAUGAACAGGGUAAUAGUUCAUCCUAACAGUUCAACUCCAGGCAUUGAGUAGCACUCAUGGUCAAAAUCACGGAUACCAGAGAAGAAGAGAUAUCUGUGCUGUCAGUGUUUGCUUCUUUGCCAUUACAUCUUUUGCUUUCAAUUAUGGGUCUCAUUAUGCUAAUCCUUCAGGUAACAUUGUGGCUCUCUUCAUAGUUCUAUUGAUUAGGUUCUCUGUUUAUGCAUGUGAGAAUAAGUAUACUUGCUUUCUCUAGCUUAUAUCCAUAUUUGAAUAUAUCUGAACUGCAUGGGUUUUCAAUCAACUAAUUUAGUGAUUUCCUUCUAUAUUUUUUUGGUUCUGAUACAUAUAUGUUUAAAUGCAUAGAGAUGUUUCCAUCGACGAUCUUAAAUUUCCUUGUUUGGGUUCUGCAUUUUUUUCAACUAUGACAUGUGUUUCAUUUUAUCCUUUUCAACAGUAUGAUAAUUGAAGUUAGAAUUGAUUAUAUGUUUUAUCCCACAGUAGUGGAUACGUUCGCACAAGUGCUACAAAAUAAGUAUACAAUAUGAUGAUUAACUCCAUAGUUCAGUCUCACUUUAUCCGUAUUAUUGAUUGGCACAGUCCUGCAUCUAUCAUGCAUGUGAAAAAGUUCCCAAUGGCUCUAGCAAGGCAGUAUAGGGAUAUCUCUAUAUUCUGCUCUUCUUCCUGAUAACAGUGCCAAACCUGUUGGAGGCUAUCAUGCGGAAACAAUUUAGUAUCAUGAACCUACAUCAUUGAGAGGGCCUAGAAGGAUAUAUUCAAUCAUUUGCCUUUAUGAAUGACUCCUUUUUGUAACACCAAAGUAGCCUAGACUCCAGGCUUGAUGCUCUCUAAGAUUGAUGAUUUUGUGUAUAGGCAUGUACAUUGUAUAGAUAUGCAUGCUGUUUGUUCCACCGCAUGCGCAACAUCAUUCUGCACCUGUGAGAAUCAUCUGUACUUUAUGCAUGUCUUUUUAUCUAUGUAACAUUCUGCAUCUGUGAGAAUCUGCUGUGCUUUAUGCCUGCCAUUUUAUCAAUCUGGAUGCUAACUAGUGCCAGUAAUGUCUCAGUGACAAGAAAUGUAGCAAAAGUCAAGAGUAUGCAGCAGAGUAUAGUUUGCCUAUUCUGAAAAAUGUUCUUCCAAAGACAAAGGGAUUCAAUAGCUGUUUGCAAGAGCCGAGGAGUUCCAUAGAUGCUGUUUAUGAUAUCACAAUUGCAUAUAAGCAUCGGCUACCGACUUUUCUUUACAAUGUUUAUGGCAUUGAUCCUUCCAAAAUCCACACCAUAUCAACAACAUUCAAGUCUCUUGACAUACCAACAAUGGAAGGGGAAGUGGCUGGCUGGCUGAUCGAACAGUUCGGACUGAAGGACGAGCUCCUAUCCAGUUCACGGGCCACUUCUCGAAUAAAGGGACUGAAGGGGAUCUGUUGACACGUAAGUGCCUUGCGAAUUUCGCAGCUGUGGUUAGGGCAUCAUCACAUACCUGACUUUGUUUUCAUCUGUGUGGUUCAAUGUUUCGUAGCGUUUGCACGUUCGGAGCGUAUGUGCAUGUGUUCAACGUGUUUUGAUACUGGGAACUUUGUAUAUGGUUUAAUCGUUGAGUAUUCUUUGCCUAAACUGAGACGAAGAAAUGAGUAUGUACAACAAGCGGCGCUGCUGUCCUGCAGCUGUGAUAUGCUCCGUGCAGCUCGAGAGCUUUACCUUCCCU